rnacentral:rRNA from 1 species
CCCUUAGAUGUCCUGGGCCGCACGCGCGCUACACUGAUGCAUGCAACGAGUAUAUAACCUUGGCCUGAAAGGCCUGGGUAAUCUUUUGAACGUGCAUCGUGAUAGGGAUAGAUUAUUGCAAUUAUUAGUCUUGAACGAGGAAUUCCUAGUAAGCACAAGUCAUCAGCUUGUGUUGAUUACGUCCCUGCCCUUUGUACACACCGCCCGUCGCUCCUACCGAUUGAAUGUUCCGGUGAGCUCUUCGGACUGCGCGGUCUGCAGUUUCUGCGUUCCGUGCGGAAAGUUGCGCAAACCUUAACAUUUAGAGGAAGGAGAAGUCGUAACA